rnacentral:tRNA from 1 species
CCGGGCUGGGGCGUCCGGACCCGGGGCGUCCUGAGCGUUCGAAGCGCUCGGGAGUCAACGCGGCCCGUUCGGCGAGCAGCGCGGC